rnacentral:rRNA from 1 species
GAGUUUGAUCCUGGCUCAGAACGAACGCUGGCGGCGUGGAUAAGACAUGCAAGUCGAACGAGAGAAUUGCUAGCUUGCUAAUAAUUCUCUAGUGGCGCACGGGUGAGUAACACGUGAGUAACCUGCCCCCGAGAGCGGGAUAGCCCUGGGAAACUGGGAUUAAUACCGCAUAGUAUCGAAAGAUUAAAGCAGCAAUGCGCUUGGGGAUGGGCUCGCGGCCUAUUAGUUAGUUGGUGAGGUAACGGCUCACCAAGGCGAUGACGGGUAGCCGGUCUGAGAGGAUGUCCGGCCACACUGGAACUGAGACACGGUCCAGACACCUACGGGUGGCAGCAGUCGAGAAUCAUUCACAAUGGGGGAAACCCUGAUGGUGCGACGCCGCGUGGGGGAAUGAAGGUCUUCGGAUUGUAAACCCCUGUCAUGUGGGAGCAAAUUAAAAAGAUAGUACCACAAGAGGAAGAGACGGCUAACUCUGUGCCAGCAGCCGCGGUAAUAC